rnacentral:rRNA from 1 species
GAUGAACGCUGGCGGCGUGCAUAACACAUUCAAGUCGAACGGUGACGAGGACUUCGGUCCUCUGAUCAGUGGCGGACGGGUGAGUAACGCGUGAGCAACCUGCCCUAUAUUGCGGGAUAACAACCGGAAACAGUUGCUAAUACCGCAUGACGUAUUCGGAUCGCAUGUUCUGAAUACCAAAGAAUUUUGAUAUAGGAUGGGCUCGCGUCCGAUUAGGCAGUUGGUGGGGUAACGGCCCACCAAACCGACGAUCGGUAGCCGAACUGAGAGGUUGAACGGCCACAUUGGGACUGAGAUACGGCCCAGACUCCUACGGGAGGCAGCAGUCGGGAAUAUUGCGCAAUGGAGGAAACUCUGACGCAGUGACGCCGCGUAUAGGACGAAGGUCUUCGGAUUGUAAACUAUUGUCGUUAGGGAAGAUAAUGACGGUACCUGACUAAGAAGCCCCGGCUAACUACGUG